GCUUGUCUCAAAGAUUAAGCCAUGCAUGUCUAAGUACAAGCCUCAGUAAGGUGAAACCGCGAAUGGCUCAUUAAAUCACACCUAAUCUACUGGAAAGUUACUAGUUACUUGGAUAACUGAGGUAAUUCUUGAGCUAAUACAUGCUGGCGUGCCCGACUUUUGCGGAAGGGCGGUAUUUAUUAGAUAACAAGCCAAUAUUCCUCCGGGUCUAUUGUGGUGAUUCAUAAUAACUGAUCGAAUCGCAAGGCCUUUGGCCGCGAUAAGUCAUUCAAGUUUCUGCCCCAUCAGCUUUCGAUGGUAGUGUAUUGGACUACCAUGGCGUUCACGGGUAACGGAGAAUUAGGGUUCGAUUCCGGAGAGGGAGCCUGAGAAACGGCUACCACAUCUAAGGAAGGCAGCAGG
rnacentral:rRNA from 1 species